rnacentral:lncRNA from 1 species
CAGGAAAGCUUAUUAACAAAUACAUUCAGCACAGCUUGCAGGAAGCAGCAAGUUUCAUGUAGAGUACCACGGCGUCAUCAUGCAAGUGUCUGUCUGAGCAUGGCCAGUAAGAGAACUGGUGGUUUCGGUCCAUGAAAGAGCUGGGGUUCCUGGAAGUUUUUGGAAUGCCUGGCCACGACAUUGGUUGGAGUCUGACUGGGCCCCAUGCAGAAAAUGCCACACUCUGCUGAGCUGACAUCUUUGUGUUCUGCUAGGAGGCCCAGGAAUUCAUAAAAGAAAAGAACUAAGGCACUUGAAAAUUUCGAAGCAGGCUCUCGUGCAAUGCUGAUAUGUUGAAGCCUCCAUGUGAUCAAGCCUCAGCCACAUUUUUAUGGAAGCCGAGCACCAGGGAGGCCCUUCUAGGAAGGAGCUUCAUUCCCAUCGGAAAGGUUGGCCAUGGCACCAGCCUCACACUGGUUGGAAAGGGCUCAUUGAGGAAUCUUUCCAGAGUGUUUCAUGACUUAACGUUUCACGGCUGGCUCUGCACAACCUGCGAAUAAACAAAAACUAAAAC